AUUGAACGCUGGCGGCAUGCUUUACACAUGCAAGUCGAACGGCAGCGCGGGCUUCGGCCUGGCGGCGAGUGGCGAACGGGUGAGUAAUACAUCGGAACGUGCCCAGUAGUGGGGGAUAGCUCGGCGAAAGCCGGAUUAAUACCGCAUACGACCUGAGGGUGAAAGCGGGGGAUCUUCGGACCUCGCGCUAUUGGAGCGGCCGAUGGCACAUUAGCUAGUUGGUGGGGUAAAGGCCUACCAAGGCGACGAUCUGUAGCUGGUCUGAGAGGACGACCAGCCACACUGGGACUGAGACACGGCCCAGACUCCUACGGGAGGCAGCAGUGGGGAAUUUUGGACAAUGGGCGAAAGCCUGAUCCAGCAAUGCCGCGUGUGUGAUGAAGGCCUUCGGGUUGUAAAGCACUUUUGGCGGGAACGAAAAGGACUGUGCCAAUACCACGGUUCGAUGACGGUACCCGCAGAAUAAGCACCGGCUAACUACGUG
rnacentral:rRNA from 1 species